GACGAACGCUGGCGGCGUGCCUAAUACAUGCAAGUAGAACGCUGAAGAGAGGAGCUUGCUCUUCUUGGAUGAGUUGCGAACGGGUGAGUAACGCGUAGGUAACCUGCCUGGUAGCGGGGGAUAACUAUUGGAAACGAUAGCUAAUACCGCAUAAAAUGGAUUAUCGCAUGAUAAUCCAUUGAAAGGUGCAAAUGCAUCACUACCAGAUGGACCUGCGUUGUAUUAGCUAGUUGGUGGGGUAACGGCUCACCAAGGCGACGAUACAUAGCCGACCUGAGAGGGUGAUCGGCCACACUGGGACUGAGACACGGCCCAGACUCCUACGGGAGGCAGCAGUAGGGAAUCUUCGGCAAUAGACGGAAGUCUGACCGAGCAACGCCGCGUGAGUGAAGAAGGGUUUCGGAUCGUAAAGCUCGGUUGUAAGAGAAGAACGAGUGUGAGAGUGGAAAGUUCACACUGUGACGGUAGCUUACCAGAAAGGGACGGCUAACUACGUG
rnacentral:rRNA from 1 species